rnacentral:rRNA from 1 species
UACGAAGGGGGCGAGCGUGGUUCGGAAUUCCUGGGCGUAAAGGGCGCGCAGUCGGCCUUCGAAGUCAGCUGUGAAAGCCCCGGGCUCAACCUGGGAACUGCAUUUGAGACUGCUCUGCUCGGGUGCGGAAGAGGGAGGCGGAAUUUCCGGUGUAGCGGUGAAAUGCGUAGAUAUCGGAAGGAACACCAGUGGCGAAAGCGGCUUCCUGGUCCGACACUGACGUUCAGGCACGAAAGCGUGGGGAGCAAACAGG